AGCUUCAGGAAUGACUGUGACUACUGUAAUAUCCGCUCUUAGCUUUUCGCCGGAUGGAGAGGGGCUAGUUGCUUUUUCUGAGACUGGGUUGAUGAUACGAUGGUGGUCCUACUCGUUGGGAUCUGUGUGGUGGGAGAAACUUAACAGGAACCUAGUUCCUGUUCAGUGCAUGAAACUAAUUUUUGUCCCACCUUGGGAGGGAUUCUUGCCUAAUGCUAGUAGGUCAAGCUUAAUAGAAAGUGUAUUCUCUAAAGAAGGAGAUGCUAAUUCACAGGAGAACACCAAUGCAUCGAAUGAAAGCGACAGACUUAAACAACUGCUUCAUAAUAUUGAUCUUUCUUAUAGAUUAGAAUGGGUUGGUCAAAAAAAAAAUAAAGCUCACACAGCAUGGCCGUGAUUUGGGCACUUACCAACUAUGACACUAAAACUGCAACUCCUUUGAGUAGGUA
rnacentral:misc_RNA from 1 species